rnacentral:lncRNA from 1 species
GUUUCAUCUUGCCGAAGUUUGUUUGAUAAAUCACCAAGUAACCUAGGCUAUUGUUUCCCAGAAAAACCCGCAAUUCAAGAUUUACAUCAAGCCUCGAAUGUGAAUUAAUGAUGACGUAUGGCAAUCUAAGCUUUGCCUAACUAAAGUGACACAUUGUAACCGUUUCUCUCCCGUGAUCUGACGACUGUACACUCAUUGUCAUGAUGCUAAAGUAGAUCAGGAGUGUCUUUUUCAAAUGAGGCCUGGAUGUUAAGCAGAGCAGAUGCUGAGGGCCCUGGUGUAUUGUAGACAUAACAGUAUCUCCUACACUUCAAAGCAGUCUUACAAACUCUACAGCGGUGCAAGUUGCCAUGGCUGGCAGAAAUUAAGCGGGAGUGACGGAGAGAGGCGCCCGCCGACUCUCCUCCAAACCCAACCCCCACGUUGUGCCGCGCAUCAUCACCAGUGGGGUGAGCGAGCGCUGUGCUGCUGUUAUGCUGGUCCUAAAGCGUUAACUCCCCCCUCCGUUGGCCAUUGAAGAGAACGCUGCGUGGGCUGCUAGAUCAUUUGAGAGUGCAUUUUCCUCCUCCAAUCCGCUACACAGAGCACACUCCCCAUAUGCCCAAUGGGGAGUAGGGGUGGCUCUAACGAAUUUGAAUGAAGAGGGUAGCUUUCGGCGCCAUUUUCGAGUGAGCUGCGAUUGCUUCAACAGCUGAGAGGAGCGGCUGCAGUGGGUAGGCAAGACGAGCUCUGGAGCUGUCGCAAGACACGGACAUUAUUUUCGGAGGCUCGAAAAAUAUAUACAAAAAUUAUCCCGAAAAAGAACACCGAUGGAUAAAGAAAAGGGAAAGAAGGCCAAGACUACGUCGUAUCAGGACUGGGGGAAACGUUAGAUAGUUAGCCAGCUACUGUAACGUUAGCAUUACUAGCGAUAAGAAAUUGGUGUCUGACUUGGCGUCUGUGUAGAAAUGUAACGUUUAUAAAUGCAUUUACGACAAAUAAGUGGACCUCUCUAAAAAGAACCAAACAGUUUAGAAAAAUAUUUCAGGGUCGAUUGAGUGGAGAAUGACCGGCAUAAUUUAGAUUUUUUUGCGUUUUAGUCAUAUUUUAGGACGUUCCGUUUGAGCGGGAGGUGGAAAAGCGGGAGGCAGUGGAGUGAAGAGCCAGUCGGCACCGCUGUCAACAACAUGCACUGCGAGCUGAAUCUUCAUAUCGUUGGCUUCCUCUUGAAAACGCUGCAAGGAUUUUUCUCUAAGUUAACAUUGGUGGAUUCGCCUGAUUGAAAACGUUAUACAACGUUUUAUGAUGGUUGGAGAGUCAUGGAGUUCCCUUCAGCCACCGAGAGACGACCUGGAUGCGUGUGUGUAUGAGUGAAAGAAAGGGGAGGUGUAUGUAUGUGUGUGUGUGUGUGUGUAUAUAUAUAUAUGUAUGUAUGUAUGUAUGUAUGUAUGUAUGUAUGUGUGUAUGUGAGAGAGGGGAGUUGUGUGUGUGAGAAAGGGGAUGUGAGAGAGAAAGGGGAUGUGUGUGUGUGAGAGAGAAAGGGGAUGUGCGAGAGAGAGCAAGGAGGGGAGAGAGUGAGUCAGGAUGAGUGUAUGCAGGAGAGGGAGCUGGAGUCUGCGAGGAUGUGUGAAUGAGAUGGAGCUGGUUGUGCUGUAGCAGCACAGAAUGGUUUGUGGGUUCCACAGAGAUGCAGGCCAUACUGUGCUGCAGCAAUAAGGCCUGGACAGACGGGCAUCUGUGGAACCAUCCAGAAGAGCGCGUGUGUGUGUGUGGGAUCCACCUGCCUCGUCACUGGCUGCCUUGCUGUAGCAGCACGUAAAUAUUGGAGUUAAAACUACUGCUGAAGCCUCCAGU